rnacentral:rRNA from 1 species
GUAGUCAAUCUACCCUAUGGACGGGAAUAACCUCGGGAAACUGAGAAUAAUGCCCGAUAGAACAUUAUGCCUGGAAUGGUUUAUGUUUCAAAUGAUUUAUCGCCAUAGGAUGGGACUGCGGCCUAUCAGUUUGUUGGUGAGGUAAUGGCCCACCAAGACUAUUACAGGUACGGGCUCUGAGAGGAGUAGCCCGGAGAUGGGUACUGAGACACGGACCCAGGCCCUAUGGGGCGCAGCAGGCGAGAAAACUUUGCAAUGUGCGAAAGCACGACAAGGUUAAUCCGAGUGGUUUCUGCUAAAGAAACCUUUUGUCAGUCCUAGAAACACUAACGAAUAAGGGGUGGGCAAGUUCUGGUGUCAGCCGCCGCGGUAAAACCAGCACCUCAAGUGGUCAGGAUGAUUAUUGGGCCUAAAGCAUCCGUAGCCCGUUUUGUAGUUUUCGGUUAAAUCCAUGCGCUUAACGUAUGGGCUGCCGGGAAUACUGCAUAACUAGGAAGUGGGAGAGGUAGACGGUACUCGGUAGGAAGGGGUAAAAUCCUUUGAUCUAUUGAUGACCACCUGUGGCGAAGGCGGCCUACCAGAACACGUUCGACGGUGAGGGAUGAAAGCUGGGGGAGCAAACCGGAUUAGAUACCCGGGUAGUCCCAGCUGUAAACUAUGCAAACUCAGUGAUGCAUUGGCUUAUGGCCAAUGCAGUGCUGCAGGGAAGCCGUUAAGUUUGCCGCCUGGGAAGUACGUACGCAAGUAUGAAACUUA